AGUCCCCGAUCAAAAUUAUAACUAAAAACACACAAAAGCAAUAAAAUCUACUAUACCACUUUCGCUGGCUAAAUGAUUGCACUAAGCAUGUGCAACAAGCCUUUAAACCUCUAGGUGUCCCUAGUCGGAGGAGUUGUGUCUCCUGAGGGUUUAUAAUGAUGAUGCCCACAAAUCUCUACAGACUCUGCAAACAAAUUGGUUAAAGCAUACUUGAAACAAACUAAUAAGAACCAAUGAAAGCUUAGUCAUACAUCCAAACCAAAAGUCUACCACUUCAAAGAAUCGUAUCAUGUAUAAAGUGUAAAAAUAUUACUCCAUGAUUCAUGACUUCAAAGGCACCAUACUCAAAUGCUAAAGAUAGAAUUCACCUCAACUCUAUUCCUCACAGAUAUCACUCAAAUCUUCACUCAAAUCCUAAGGUGUAGUGUCUCCACAAACAUAUGUGAGUGAAAUUAUGUUAAAGGAAAUCAAAAUUCUCACAUAUGAAAUACGAAAUAAAAACACAAUCUCAUGAAAUGAAUCAAACACUAAGAAUAUGGAUAUCACAUGUACUUACCAGCACCCAUGAAUACAUCUUCAAAGAUCAUCUAGGUCUUUCACACGGUUGUAAUGUAAGGCUUAGUCUAUGGGAUAUGAAAGAAAGGAUAAGAAAUAAGGAAGCUUGGGACAUACCAAAGUAUCUUUGUUAUGAAAUAAGGAAGCUCUUCACUUGAAUUGGUCUUUGUUAUUUGUUCUUGGUGUCCAGGACCCAUGCAUGAUUCUUUGAUUUUUUUUUUCUGUAACUUUCUUUUUUUUUUUUUGCAAUUCUAGCACAUGUUACCUCGGUACACAUCACGUUCUUGAUCUAGAGCUCAAUCUAUCUAUGUCUUCAUCACUUUAGUAUUCCCCAAACUAUAAGGUAUGGCUGUAAUGGGCUAAAAUAGGUAGAGUUUGAUGUGGGUGAUGAAAGAACUAAGCUAAAAGUGUUUGGCUGCAACAAGGGUGAAUGGAGCACAUAAAAGGAUGGGAAUUAGGCCUUUUCAUGGUUAUAACAUGCAUAGCCUAACAUCAUCUCAAUGAGUUCAUUAAUAGGUGAUAACAAACAUGGUAUCUGCAACAUAGGAUUAUUCUUAGCAUUCAAUCAAAGAGAAAUAAUGAGAUCAUUUAAAGUGAAAUUGAAAGAAAAAGAUAGGAGCAGAAACACUUUAAACCCUCUCAAAGAAGCAAAUAGGCUCAAAAUAACUCACUAGGGUAGUCUCCACUAUUCUUCUUCUAGAAUUUGAGCAUGGUACUUUUACCAUCAUAAUUCCAAGAGUAACAGCUUUGUAAAAGAAAAUAAGAUACGAAACUUUUUUAUGACAACACUGUAGUUUUGUUUGUAAACAUAGCCGUCAUAUACAUUCACAUUAUUAAGCAAAAGCAAACGAAAAUUUUCAAUCCCACACCCCUAAACCUAAACUAAGCAUUGUCCUUGAUGCUUAAAAAUGAAUGGAAUGCAUGCAGUGUGUUUGUACCAUACUUGACCAAUCCCGAAACUACAGAGCAUCGAUCAACGUUAUACCGUCAAGGAGCCAGAAGAGUUUCCCUCCAACCAGGAGGCCAAUCACAGCGCGACAUGUGUCGACAUUAGAAGCCAAUCAUAGCGCGACAUGUGUCGACAUCAUAAGCCAAUCACAACAUGACACGUGUCAAUGUCAGAAUGAAACUAGAAACUCUCUUCUAUAAAUAGAGAUCAUUCUCUCACAAUAUUUCCUAAUGUCAUUUGUACUAAAUCAUUCACUAGUACGUACUAAAGGAGAGCUUGAACCUAUGUACUUGUGUAAACCUUUCACAAUUAAUGAGAACUACUCUACUCCGUGGAUGUAGCCAAUCUUGGUGAACCAUGCACAUCUUGUGUUUGCUUCCCUGUCUCUAUCCAUUUGCAUACAUAUCCACACUAGUGACCGGAGCAAUCUAGCGAAGGUCACAAACUUAACACUUUCUGUUGUACUAAAGUCCUCACUGAUUUUGUGCAUCAAC
rnacentral:lncRNA from 1 species